UGCUUAACACAUGCAAGUCGAACGAUGAACCUCCUUCGGGAGGGGAUUAGUGGCGAACGGGUGAGUAACACGUGGGCAAUCUGCCCUUCACUCUGGGACAAGCCCUGGAAACGGGGUCUAAUACCGGAUACGACUACCGACCGCAUGGUCUGGUGGUGGAAAGCUCCGGCGGUGAAGGAUGAGCCCGCGGCCUAUCAGCUUGUUGGUGGGGUGAUGGCCUACCAAGGCGACGACGGGUAGCCGGCCUGAGAGGGCGACCGGCCACACUGGGACUGAGACACGGCCCAGACUCCUACGGGAGGCAGCAGUGGGGAAUAUUGCACAAUGGGCGAAAGCCUGAUGCAGCGACGCCGCGUGAGGGAUGACGGCCUUCGGGUUGUAAACCUCUUUCAGCAGGGAAGAAGCGAGAGUGACGGUACCUGCAGAAGAAGCGCCGGCUAACUACGUGCCAGCAGCCGCGGUAAUACGUAGGGCGCAAGCGUUGUCCGGAAUUAUUGGGCGUAAAGAGCUCGUAGGCGGCUUGUCACGUCGGAUGUGAAAGCCCGGGGCUUAACCCCGGGUCUGCAUUCGAUACGGGCAGGCUAGAGUUCGGUAGGGGAGAUCGGAAUUCCUGGUGUAGCGGUGAAAUGCGCAGAUAUCAGGAGGAACACCGGUGGCGAAGGCGGAUCUCUGGGCCGAUACUGACGCUGAGGAGCGAAAGCGUGGGGAGC
rnacentral:rRNA from 1 species